rnacentral:lncRNA from 1 species
GGUAAUUUAAGGAAAAAAUAGUUUAAUGUCAGAGAGUUUUAUAAUUUACUAAUAAUACAAAAUUUAUUUUGCCUAGUGUGUCUUCUAUAGGAAGAGGAGAGUGUGUGUGGCCUUUCUCAGCCAGCUCAUUAUUAAUAAUUUGUACAGGCAGAGAGUUCUGUGCAAGGAAUUCCAAGAUCAGGGAACAGCACAAGCACGGGCAGGCAAGUGUGAAAACUCCGAGUGUGUUGUUAGAAAUAUGUGCUGAUUGGUGUGGCUGAGGAAGAAAGGAACUUCGAACUAACUGUUGGAUGGCUCAUUCGGCUUCCUGGCAGAAAGGAAGACUAUAAAACUGAAUCAUACUUUGAGGAACAGAGGUGUGUGUCAGAACUUGGAUACUAGCUAUGAGGAGGAAGAGAAACGUGGCAUGAGUGGAUUCUGUGGCCUCACCGUGGGUGCGGUUGUUACACAGAUGUAGAGGGUCCGCCUGGUGUAGUGGGAAAGGAUGGGACUUCACGCAUCGCACUUCAGAUCUUGGUUUGAAUUCUGUGAC